CCUACGGGUGGCAGCAGUGGGGGAUAUUGCACAAUGGGGGGAACCCUGAUGCAGCGACGCCGCGUGGGUGAAGAAGCGCCUCGGCGCGUAAAGCCCUGUCAGCAGGGAAGAAAAUGACGGUACCUGAAGCAGAAGCCCCGGCUAACUACGUGCCAGCAGCCGCGGUAAUACGUAGGGGGCAAGCGUUAUCCGGAUUUACUGGGUGUAAAGGGGGCGCAGACGGCGAUGCAAGCCAGGCGUGAAAGCCCGGGGCCCAACCCCGGGACUGCUCUUGGAACUGCGUGGCUGGAGGGCAGGAGGGGCAGGCGGAAAUCCUGGUGUAGCGGGGAAAAGCGGAGAUAGCAGGAGGAACACCGGGGGGGAAGGCGGCCUGCUGGACUGCAACUGACGUUGAGGCCCGAAAGCGGGGGGAGCAAACAGGAUUAGAUACCCCUGUAGUC
rnacentral:rRNA from 1 species